rnacentral:rRNA from 1 species
UGGGGAAUAUUGCACAAUGGGCGGAAGCCUGAUGCAGCGACGCCGCGUGGGGGAUGAAGGCCUUCGGGUUGUAAACUCCUUUCGACAGGGACGAAGCUUUUGUGACGGUACCUGUAUAAGAAGCACCGGCUAACUACGUGCCAGCAGCCGCGGUAAUACGUAGGGUGCGAGCGUUGUCCGGAAUUACUGGGCGUAAAGAGCUCGUAGGUGGUUUGUCGCGUCGUCUGUGAAGUUCCGGGGCUUAACUCCGGGCGUGCAGGCGAUACGGGCUGACUUGAGUGCUGUAGGGGAGACUGGAAUUCCUGGUGUAGCGGUGAAAUGCGCAGAUAUCAGGAGGAACACCGAUGGCGAAGGCAGGUCUCUGGGCAGUAACUGACGCUGAGGAGCGAAAGCAUGGGUAUCGAACAGG